rnacentral:rRNA from 1 species
GUACGAAGGGGCGUAGCGUUGCUCGGAAUCACUGGGCGUAAAGGGUGCGUAGGCGGGUCUUUAAGUCAGGGGUGAAAUCCUGGAGCUCAACUCCAGAACUGCCUUUGAUACUGAAGAUCUUGAGUUCGGGAGAGGUGAGUGGAACUGCGAGUGUAGAGGUGAAAUUCGUAGAUAUUCGCAAGAACACCAGUGGCGAAGGCGGACUCGACU